rnacentral:rRNA from 1 species
AUUGAACGCUGGCGGCAUGCCUUACACAUGCAAGUCGAACGGCAGCACGGGAGCAAUCCUGGUGGCGAGUGGCGAACGGGUGAGUAAAGUAUCGGAACGUGCCCAGUCGUGGGGGAUAACGUAGCGAAAGUUACGCUAAUACCGCAUACGAUCUAUGGAUGAAAGCGGGGGAUCGCAAGACCGCGCGCGAUUGGAGCGGCCGAUAUCAGAUUAGGUAGUUGGUGGGGUAAAGGCUCACCAAGCCGACGAUCUGUAGCUGGUCUGAGAGGACGACCAGCCACACUGGGACUGAGACACGGCCCAGACUCCUACGGGAGGCAGCAGUGGGGAAUUUUGGACAAUGGGCGCAAGCCUGAUCCAGCCAUGCCGCGUGCAGGAUGAAGGCCUUCGGGUUGUAAACUGCUUUUGUACGGAACGAAAAGGUUUGGCCUAAUAAGCUGAGCUCAUGACGGUACCGUAAGAAUAAGCACCGGCUAACUACGUGCCAGCAGCCGCGGUAA